AAGGAUAUAGCUCAGUGGUAGAGCACAUGCCUAGCAUGCAUGAAGUCUUUGGUUCAAUCCCCAUUACCUUCA
rnacentral:tRNA from 1 species